rnacentral:rRNA from 1 species
GACGAACGCUGGCGGCGUGCCUGACACAUGCAAGUCGGACGGUUCUUGCACCUUCAAGCUUGCUUGUUGGUUCAAGGAUAGUGGCGGACGGGUGAGUAACGCGUGAACACCUACCCAUUGGAGGGGUACAACCCGUCGAAAGGCGGGCUAAUACCGCGUAAGCCGUGAGGUGAAAGGCUGCUCUUUGGUGGCUGCCGAUGGAUGGGUUCGCGUCCUAUCAGCUGGUUGGUGGGGUAACGGCCUACCAAGGCUAAGACGGGUAGCCGGUCUGAGAGGAUGGCCGGCCACACUGGAACUGAGACACGGUCCAGACUCCUACGGGAGGCAGCAGUGGGGAAUCUUGGGCAAGUGGGGGAGACCCUGACCCAGCGACGCCGCGUGAGGGAUGAAGGUUUUCGGAUCGUAAACCUCUGUUGUACGGGAAGAAGGAUGUGACGGUACCGUACGAGUAAGCCCGGCAAACUACGUG